rnacentral:rRNA from 1 species
AUUGAACGCUGGCGGCAUGCUUUACACAUGCAAGUCGAGCGGCAGCGCGGGGGCAACCCUGGCGGCGAGCGGCGAACGGGUGAGUAAUGCAUCGGAACGUAUCCUCGAGUGGGGGAUAACCCAGCGAAAGUUGGGCUAAUACCGCAUGAGCUCUGAGGAGGAAAGCGGGGGACCUGCGAGGGCCUCGCGCUGGAGGAGCGGCCGAUGUCCGAUUAGCUAGUUGGUGGGGUAAAGGCUUACCAAGGCGACGAUCGGUAGCUGGUCUGAGAGGAUGAUCAGCCACACUGGGGCUGAGACACGGCCCAGACUCCUACGGGAGGCAGCAGUGGGGAAUUUUGGACAAUGGGGGCAACCCUGAUCCAGCCAUGCCGCGUGAGUGAAGAAGGCCUUCGGGUUGUAAAGCUCUUUCGGACGGAACGAAAUGGGCGGGACUAAUACUCCUGUCUGAUGACGGUACCGUAAGAAGAAGCACCGGCUAACUACGUG